rnacentral:rRNA from 1 species
AUUGAACGCUGGCGGCAGGCCUAACACAUGCAAGUCGAGCGAGGGGCAGACGGGUGAGUAAUGUCUGGGAAAAGGCACGAAGGAGGGGGAUAACUGAUGGAAACGGUAGCUAAUACCGCAUACAAUCGGAUGGGCCCAGAUGGGAUUAGAUAGUAGGGUGGGUAACGGCUCACCUAGGCGACGAUCCCUAGCUGGGCUGAGAGGAAGACCAGCCACACUGGAAAUGAGAUACGGUCCAGACGCCUACGGGAGGCAGAAGUGGGGAAUAUGGCACAGUGUGCGCAAGCCUGAUGCAGCCAUGCCGCGUGUAUGAAGAAGGCCUGGGGGUUGUAAAGUACUUUCAGUGAGGAGGCGUUACUCUCAGAAGAAGCACCGGCUAACUCCGUGCCAGAAGCCGCGGUAAUAC